rnacentral:rRNA from 1 species
CGUAGGGUCCGAGCGUUGUCCGGAAUUAUUGGGGCGUAAAGGGCUUGUAGGCGGUCUGUCGCGUCGGAAGUGAAAACUCAGGGCUUAACCCUGAGCCUGCUUCCGAUACGGGCAGACUAGAGGAAUGCAGGGGAGAAUGGAAUUCCUGGUGGAGCGGUGGAAUGCGCAGAUAUCAGGAGGAACACCAGUGGCGAAGGCGGUUCUCUGGGCAUUUCCUGACGCUGAGAAGCGAAAGCGUGGGGGAGCAAACAGGCUU